rnacentral:rRNA from 1 species
UGGGGAAUAUUGCACAAUGGGGGAAACCCGUGAUGCAGCGACGCCGCGUGAAGGAAGAAGUAUUUCGGUAUGUAAACUUCUAUCAGCAGGGAAGAAAAUGACGGUACCUGAGUAAGAAGCACCGGCUAAAUACGUGCC